rnacentral:rRNA from 1 species
UACGGAGGGAGCUAGCGUUGUUCGGAAUUACUGGGCGUAAAGCGCACGUAGGCGGCUUUUGUAAGUUAGAGGUGAAAGCCCGGGGCUCAACUCCGGAACUGCCUUUAAGACUGCAUCGCUUGAAUCCAGGAGAGGUGAGUGGAAUUCCGAGUGUAGAGGUGAAAUUCGUAGAUAUUCGGAAGAACACCAGUGGCGAAGGCGGCUCACUGGAGCUGGUAUUGACGCUGAGGUGCGAAAGCGUGGGGAGCAAACAGG